GUAAUGUGAUAGGGAUUGCAUUGAUUCUGUAGAUUGCCUUAGGUAGUAUAGCCAUUUUGAUAAUAUUAACUCUUCCAAUGCAAGAGCAUGGUAUGUCUUUCCCUCUAUUUGUGUCAUCUUUGAUUUCUUUCAUCAGGGUCUUAUAGUUUUCAGAGUACAGGUCUUUUGUCUCUUUAGGUAGGUUUACUCCUAGGUAUUUUAUUCUUUUGGAUGUGAUGGUAAACGGGAUUGCUUCCCUAAUUUCUCUUUCUGAUCUUUCAUUGUUAGCAUAUAGAAAUGCCAUCAAUUUCUGUGUAUUAAUUUUGUAUCCUGCGACUUUGCCAAAUUCCUGGAUGAGCUCUAACAAUUUUCUGGUAGAGUCUUUAGGGUUCUCUAGGUAUAGCAUCAUGUCAUCUGCAAAUAGUGAUAGUUUUCCUUCUUCCUUUCAAUUUGGAUUCCUUUUAUCUCUUUUACUUCUCUGAUUGCCGUGGCUAGGACUUCCACAGCUAUGUGGAAUAGUAGUGGUGAGAGCAGACAUCCUUGUCUUGUUCCUGAUCUCAGCGGGAAUUCUUUCAGCUUUUCACCACUGAGAAUGAUGUUAGCUCUGGGUUUGUCAUACAUGACCUUUAUUAUGUUGAGAUAGGUUCCCUCUAUGCCCACUUUCUGAAGGGUUUUUAUCAGAAAUUGGUGUUGGAUUUUGUCAAAGGCUUUUUCUGUGUCUCUUGAGAGGAUCAUAUGGUUUUGAUUCUUUAAUUUGUUAAUGUGGUGUAUCAGACUGAUGGAUUUGUGGAUAUUGAAGAACCCUCGCAUCCCUGGGAUAUAUCCCAAUUGAUCAUGAUGUACAAUCCUUUUAACGGAUUGUUGGAUGUGGUUUGCUAGUGUUUUGUUGACGGUUUUUUCAUCAAUGUUCAUCAGUGAAAUUGGCCUAUGGUUUUCUCAUUUUGUGGUAUCUUUGUCUGGUUUUGGUAUCCAGGUGAUGGUGUCCUCAUUGAAUGAGUUUGGGAGUGUCCCUUCCUCUGAAAUUUUUUGCAAUAGUUUCAGAAGGAUAGGUGUUAGCUCUUCUCUAAAUGUUUGAUAGAAUUUGCCUGUGAAGCCAUCUGGUCCUGGACUUUUGUUUGUUGGAAGUUUUUUAAUCACAGUUUCAAUAUCAGCACUUGUGAUUGGUCCAUUUAUCUUUUCUAUUUCAUCUUGGUUUAGUCUUGGAGGAUUGUACUUUUCUAAGAAUUUGUCCAUUUCUUCUAGGUUUUCCAUUUUAUGGGCAUAUAGUUGCAAAUAGUAGUCUCUUAUAAUCCUUUGUAUUUCUGUGAUGUCUGUUGUUUCUUCUUUUUCAUUUCUAAUUUCAUUGAUUUGAGUAUUCUCUCUUUUUUUCCUGAUGAAUCUGCCUAAGGGUUUAUCAACUUUGUUGAUCUUUUCAAAGAACCAGCUUUUCGUUUCAUUGAUCUUUUCUAUGGUUUUCUUCAUUUCUAUUUCAUUGAUUUCUGCUCUGAUCGUUAUGAUUUCUUUCCUUCUACUAACUUUAGGUCUUGUCUGUUCUUCUCUCUCAAGCUGCUUUAGAUGUAAAGUUAGCUUGUUUAUUUGAGCUUUUUCUUGUUUCCUGAGGUGGGCUUGUAUUGCUAUAAACUUUCCUCUUAGAAUGGCUUUUGCUGCAUCCUAUAGGUUUUGGAGUGUCGUAUCUUCGUUGUCAUUUCCUGUUAGGUAUUUUUUAAUUUCUUUUUUGAUUUCUUCAGUGAUCCAUUCGUUGUUUAGUAGCAUGUUGUUGAGUCCCCACGUGUUUGUGUUUUUUCCAGUUUUUUUCUUGGUGUUGAUUUCCAGUCGUAUAGCCUUGUGGUUGGAAAAGAUGCUUGAUAUGACUUCAAUUUUCUUAAAGUUACUGAGGUUUGGUUUGUAGCCCAGGAUAUGAUCAAUCUUAGGGAAUGUUCCAUGUGCACUUGAUAAGAAUGUCUAUUCUGUUGCUUUUGGCUGGAAUGUCAUAUAAAUAUCUAUUAAGUCCAUCUGGUUUAAUGUAUCAUUCAGGGCCUGUGUUUUAUUAUUGAUUUUCUGUCUGGUUGAUCUGUCCAUUGCUGUAAGUGGGGUGUUAAAUUCCCCCACAAUUAUUGUGUUACUGUCAAUUUCUCCUUUUAAGGUUGUUAGCAGUUGCCUUAUAUAUUGUGGUGAUCUUAUGUUGGGUUCAUAGAUAUUUACAAUUUUUAUUUCAUCUUCUUGGAUGGAUCCUUUGAUCAUUAUGUAAUAUACUUCUUUGUCCCUUAAAAUAGUCUUCAUUUUAAAGUCUAUUGUGUCUG
rnacentral:lncRNA from 1 species